rnacentral:rRNA from 1 species
GGAGGGUGCGAGCGUUGUCCGGAAUCAUUGGGCGUAAAGGGCSCSUARGUGGCCCGGUCAGUCUUUGGUGAAAGCGCGGGGCUCAACCCUGCGUCGGCCAGGGAUACUGCCGCGGCUCGAGCACUGUAGAGGCAGGCGGAAUUCCGGGUGUAGCGGUGGAAUGCGUAGAGAUCCGGAAGAACACCGGUGGCGAAGGCGGCCUGCUGGGCAGUUUAGCUGACACUGAGGCGCGACAGCGUGGGGAGCAAACAGGAUUAGAUACCCUGGUAGUCCACGCCGUAAACGAUGGGCACUAGGUGUGGGACCCAUUCCACGGGUUCCGUGCCGCAGCUAACGCAUUAAGCGCCCCGCCUGGGGAGUACGGCCGCAAGGCUA